UACAGAGGUCUCAAGCGUUGUUCGGAUUUAUUGGGCGUAAAGGGCGCGUAGGCGGCGGGGUAAGUCGGGUGUGAAAUCUCAGGGCUCAACCCUGAAACUGCACUUGAUACUGCUCUGCUUGAGGACUGGAGAGGAGACUGGAAUUCACGGUGUAGCAGUGAAAUGCGUAGAUAUCGUGAGGAAGACCAGUGGCGAAGGCGGGUCUCUGGACAGUUCCUGACGCUGAGGCGCGAAAGCGUGGGGAGCAAACAGG
rnacentral:rRNA from 1 species